rnacentral:rRNA from 1 species
GUCAGCGGCGAAAGAACGUUGAAUAGUCCAAUUUCCAAUGGUUCACUAAAGUUAAGCAAGGUUGCGCGUGGUUAGUAUCUGGGUGGGUGAACAUCUGGACAAUCGCGUGCUCACUUUUC